rnacentral:rRNA from 1 species
GACGAACGCUGGCGGCGUGCCUAAUACAUGCACGUAGAACGCAGUUGCGAACGGGUGAGUAACGCGUAGGUAACUGCCUCAUAGCGGGGGAUAACUAUUGGAAACGAUAGCUAAUACCGCAUACUGUGAGAUGGACCUGCGUUGUAUUAGCUCGUUGGUGAGGUAAAGGCUCACCAAGGCGACGAUACAUAGCCGACCUGAGAGGGGGGUCGGCCACACUGGGAAUUAGACACGACCCGGAAUCAGACGGGAGGCAGCAGUAGGAAAUCUUCGGCAAUGGACGGCAGUCUGACCGAGAUACGCGGCGUGAAUGAAGAAGAUUUUAGGAUCGUAAAGCUCUGUUGUUAGAGAAGCGGUAAAUAACCAGAAAGGGACGGCUAACUACGUGCCAGCAGCCGCGGUAAUAC